rnacentral:rRNA from 1 species
UACAGAGACUGCAAGCGUUAUUCGGAUUCACUGGGCGUAAAGGGUGCGCAGGCGGCCAAGUGUGUGAGGCGUGAAAGCCCGGGGCUUAACCCCGGAAUUGCACCUCAAACUACAUGGCUAGAGCAUUGGAGAGGGUAGCAGAAUUCAUGGUGUAGCAGUGAAAUGCGUAGAUAUCAUGAGGAAUACCAGAGGCGAAGGCGGCUACCUGGACAAUUGCUGACGCUCAGGCACAAAAGCGUGGGGAGCAAAAGGG